UACCUCUUGGUUUUGACUCGACGACAUUUCGGCCAUUUCGACUACUUAUCAAAUCUUCAUUAAAUACUUAAAAGAAAGUCAGAAAUCUGCUCUUCAUCAGACAGGAACACAUCAUGAGAUGUUUUCUGGUUCUCUUCUGGCUGAUCAGUUUACUGCCCGUCUCAGAUCAAGGAAAAUAUCAUCUUGCUGUUCCUGAAGAGCCAAUAAAGGCACAAGUUGGAUCCAACGUUGUUCUACCAUGUUGGGUGGAGCCCCCAGUUAAUGUGACCAACGCUACCGUCAAAUGGAUGUUCAACUCCAUUAAAACUCUUCACUUUUUUCGAAGUGAGGGUGAUGACCAAAAAUUUCAAGACUACAGAUACAAAGAUCGAACUUAUCUCAACCAUACAAUGCUUGAACAUGGUGACAUUUCCCUCAAGUUGUCCAACGUAACUAAGAACGAUGAAGGGAUUUACAGCUGCUUUGUUCUCCGUCUGCCUGGUCAUAAUAAGCCAGAAGAGAGAAAUGUUACUCUGAUUGUUGUUGAUGGAAAAGAAAAUGAAAACGCAGAAGGACAUUCUGGAGUACCUGCUGGAGUUAUUGUUGGUGUUGUUGUUGGAGCACUCAUCAUCAUCCUCGCCGUCAUCAUAUACUGUGCUGUACGUCGCUGCAGAGGUGAACAAAUUUUUCCAUGCUGGAACAACAAGUCUCAAAAUGAACAAAGGAGAAAUGAUGGAGAUCGCAGAGGAAAUGGUAACCAAGGAGAUGGAGCUGAGCAAAUACCUUUACAGAACCUGGAACAACCAAACCAAAAUGUGUGAAUCAUCCUGAUCUGAAAUCUCUUCAAUCUCUUGUUGGUAUGAAAACUGUUGCAUGUGUAGAACUGUGAAUAAUAGAAAAACUGUCUGACUUAAACCCAAAAGCAAAUCCUUCAUAUUAAUUAGAUCAAAGAUUUAAUUAUCUUUUUUUAGAUUAAAAAAAGGAUGAAGAAUCAUGUAAGUUAAAAAAAUAACAUUUUAUGACCAUAACUGUUUCUGUAGUUUAGUGUCUUACUCAGAUUUUGAUGACUGAGUUUUAUUGAAAAGUAUUUUUAAUACAUGCAAAAAUUGACAGACUUGAUCCCCAGCUUGUGCCUACAAAAGGUUUUUAAUUUAAUUUCUGUCAGUGAAUCUUAUUUUUAAUGCUCACACUCUUGUUACAUAAAUAACCAAAUAUUUAUAUAUUUUAUUAUGACUUUCUAGUUUUUCAAUUCAUGAAUCAGCAGUGAAUUCAUUAGUUCACCCACAUUCACAUAGGAACAAAUCACCUGAAUAUUUCUAUGUUCAUCAUCAUACAGUGAAUGUCAAAAAGGAAAAUUUUGAUACUAUAUUAUUUUAUAAGCAUCCUUGUAGUUACAUUAUGUAAGAUUGUUAUUAAAUAUGUUCUCAUAACAUAGAAAAUUAAAGAAAAUUAUAAAUUCAUCAAUUACUUUGAAAAUAGGCCCAUAGACACAACAGAUAAUAACAAUACUAACUUGAUCUUGUAAACCAGCUGUAGUGACUUUUUCAUUCCAGACACUCAGCUUGAGGAGGUAGAGAAGUUUUGUUGAUGAAUAUGUAUUAUGGUCUGGUCAGCGUAAAGACUGUGUUCAUAAUUAGCUUUGCCACAUGAUUGGUGAUGAGUCACCAUGGGGGAAACACAAACCAUACAAACACAAACUAUAAGAUCAGAACAGAAAGAAAUGUCUCAUAUUUCUGGACUCAGUGGAGGCUUAGAGCUGAGCUUCUAUAGCCUGGACCUGGUAAAUGAAUCACCUGUUCAUUUCAGUCAGGUACAUGGAAGCAGGGAGAAAAUGCAGGACAAUGAGUCCAAAGUCCAAGGCUGAGAAAAGUUGAUUUAUGGUGAAGUAAAUCAAACUAUUCAGGCUCCCAGAGUCACUUAUUUUGAGCCAGUGUUCUGUUGAGAUUAGUCCAUUUGACAAUUAUAGUUCCAAACCGAUGAGCCUUUUUUAAAUUCAUCAGCUUGAACUGAGCCUGGUUUAAAAUGGCUGUUUAAUGUAGGAAUAAAUGGCUGCUGCAAAGUUAAAGACUGUGAAUAAAAUGGUUCUCUUUAUACUUUAUACUUCCUACUAACAUCUCAGAAAUCAAAUGGCUCUUAUUUUAAAAAACAGGUUUUUCAAUUAGCCAACAUCUAAAUCCAACAUGGCGGCUCCCUGGGUUGCAACUCAAACCUUUCUGGAGAGAUUGAAGCUGUUCCUCUAUUUCACACUUUGAUUCUCUGCCCAGAAAAAGGAAAAUGAAACUGCAAUUCAUUUUCAAUAUCUGCAUAAUUCAAAUAGAAACUGUAAAAACUUAUCAAUGCAGGAUUUUUUUUAACAACUUAAAAA